rnacentral:tRNA from 1 species
GGGCGAUUAGCUCAGAUGGUAGAGCGCUUGCCUCACAUGCAAGAGGCCAGUGGUUCGAGUCCACUAUCGCCCA